UUUUUCUCGGAUGUUUCUCAAAUUUGGGUUCUGUGGCGAGACUGUUUCACUGUUUGAAGGUAUGGCUCUCUUUGUACGGUUUACUUGCUUCUAGAUCAGCUCUCUAUUUCUCUUUGGAGGAUGUGAAAUUUGAGUUGGGGGCGUGCUUUGGCUGAGUGGUUCGUGGUUUCUCAUAUUUUGAUCGAUUCAUUCUGAAGGAGGAGGUUAUCGUUCUCGUCUUAUCAUUGUCUGAUUUUUAAUAUGCCAUUCUUCUAUUUAUUAUUUUGGAGUUAGAUUUGAGAUUGUGUUUUGGGCUUCCAAUUUUCCUGUUUGCAUCUGUUCUGGCGUUCAGGAGCUGUGUGGAGUCCAGGUCUUGCUUCCUUCCUGUUCAGGUCUUCUUUGUGGUUAGUUCAUAUUGUGUGUUCUAUGCAACAUGAGCUUUCCCAAUUUUGAUUUGAGAGAGAGAAAGAGAGAGGGGGUUGAAGAGAGAGGGCAAGCUCAAAAGAUUGUUUUCAGGAUAUUUGGUGCAUCAAAAGAUUUUGUUUGUUCCCCUGUAGCUCUAUUAUUUGAUGCUGCCCUGCGCUCCCUCUAAAGAAUAUGACCUUAGUGUGUGAGGAUUUUGUGACUCCUCUGUGUUCUUCUUAGUGUAUUUACUCAUUUUCUUAUGGUUUUGAUGAAAGCCCUCAUAUGUCUCCCACUCUCCACUGGGUUGUUCCUUGAAAAUUAAACUUCUAAAAAAAUAUGAUGUUUUUUUGGGGGUCCGGGAAGUGUUCCCUAUUACUUGCUUUUUGCUUUCAAUUUUUUUUUUAAACAACUAGUGACUGUAGAUGCUCCCAGUUCUAUGCUGAUUUUAGCAUGAUUCCAUUGAAUACUGUUAUGAUGAGUAUAGUUUUAUCGAGGUCUUCUACUUAAUUAGUGUGUUCCAUGAACUACAACCAUGCUUAGUGUGUUCGAUAAACUACAACCAUGCGUCGAGCCUUCAUAUUUUAAUUUGCUUAUGGAUUAAGAUGUCUUAACUAAUGUAUCUUCUUUUUACAAAAUAUUUAUGUAUAUUUCUACAUUAUUGUUCAUCAUAUUAAUGAAUCCAAAAUUAUUUGAAUCAUGCCUUUAAAAAUUGUGCAUUUUAUCUAUUUGUUGGUUCAAAUUUGAAUUCCUGUUUAAUUUUAGAUUGUAAGCCUCCAUCUAUAUGUUUGGAAAGUGCUUGAUUGUAUUUUGGGUUUAGAAUAUUAAUUUCAUGGAAACAACAUUUUUGCUAGCUAUACAAAUAAGAUUUGGAAUGUUGUCUUUGGGGAAAAAAAUUAUUUUCCCUUGAUGACUGAGCUUCAUUGGAUGUAGGCUAUUCUCAAGGAAAAAGUAGAUUGAAGAUUUUGAUAUACAGCUGCCUGAAAUUUGGUGGGACCCGAUGAUGACAUGGCACUGACGUGGAAAGUGGGGCCCGAUGAUGUGGUACUGACGUGGCAAAUGGGGUCCAAUGAUGAUGUGGUGCUGACGUGGCGAUGGGGCCUAAUGCUGACGUGGCAGUGAAAUCCAGUGAUGAUUGUGCUAAAUUACAUAAGGUAAAAUCCCAAGAAAGUGGGGGGUCACAAUGGGUCACUUAAGUCCUACUUUCCUAGACAGAAUUUCCUUAGACACGUAAUUAGUACAAUAUAAAACCUAGGACCUCCGAUCUAGCAACUUUGCUCCGAUCUGACAAUUUUGCUUUGAUCUAGCGACUUUGCUCCGAUCUGACUCUGAUACCACUUGUUAGGGAUCUAAGAACAAUAAUCACACACACAAGAAAAAUAAACACACAAAAUAAAAACACCAGAUUUAUGUGGUUCGGUCUAAAUCUAACUUACAUUCACGGAGCACACCGAAUAUACUAUAACUUGGGAGAAAAACAAAAGAAGGAGACACACACUCAACUCAACUCUUCUCACACUUUUCUCUCUCUUACCUUCAACACACUCACACUCCUUGCUCACUCACUUUACUAUAUUCACAUUCACGUACAAUUGCUUAACAAUAUUUUCCAAGAAACACCAGAUUUAAAUGUUUUGUUUUAGUUUUUUAUUCUUACAUUUUGUGUUAGAUUUAAUGUUAAAGUUUGGGUGGGCUUAAUAGAUGGCUUAAAGACUUGAAAACAUUGGGCUUGGAUCUAUGCUGACUUUAGUUAGUUUAGGAUUUUAUUUUAUUUAUUUUAAAUAUCGUUUUGGUUUGUGAUGUUUUUUGUAUAUAAUGUAUAAAUAUGGUCCAGUUUGAAAAAAUGUUAGUUUUGCUUCAAGAAAUAUUUGAUCUGGGCUGUCUUCUUUGGGCUGUAAUUUCACUUCACAAUAUUUCAGAUAACUAUUCGAUUAGGAAGGAAGUCUGGAUACUACCAAUCCCAUUGUAAAGAGGCUAAAGAGCAAAAAAAUUGUGAUGACUUUGAUAGCAUUUGAAGGAAGAACUAUGGGAACAAUUUGUUUUCCAUUUGUGAUAUCUUCAUUAUGUUUGUUCACUUGUAAAAGAAUCUGCCUUUCCUUGAGCUGCUUGAAUUUGAUUCGCCAUGCUGACCUGCCUAUUCUGGCAGCAAAAAAAAUCAGUCGUUUGAAUUAGUUUGCAGGCUUAAACGUUAGCAGAACUGCUAUGACAUGUCAGAACUAAUACUAACUGAAUCAAAAAGGAACUAAUGUGUAUUAAACUGAAAUGAAAAGGAGUUAAUGUGUAUUCUUCCUUAAUCUA